rnacentral:tRNA from 1 species
GCCUUCGUGGUGCAACGGUAGCACACUCAACGCAUAUUCGAGAAGUUCAGGGUUCAAGUCCCGGCGAGGGCA